rnacentral:rRNA from 1 species
UACAGAGGUCCCAAGCGUUGUUCGGAUUCACUGGGCGUAAAGGGUGCGUAGGUGGUGAGGUAAGUCGGCUGUGAAAUCUCCAGGCUCAACCUGGAAAUGGCAUUGGAAACUACCUUGCUAGAGGGUUUGAGGGGGGACUGGAAUACUUGGUGUAGCAGUGAAAUGCGUAGAUAUCAAGUGGAACACCAGUGGCGAAGGCGAGUCCCUGGACAGUGCCUGACGCUGAGGCACGAAGGUCAGGGGAGCAAACGGG